AUGUUACUGGGGCUAGUGCUUCUUGUGCUAGAGAUAUAUCUUCUGAUGAAUCAAGUGAUGAUAAUGCGGUUCCUUUCGAGAAACCCGAUGAUAGUGCUGAAACGAAGUUGGCAUCUUCAAAGGAACCAAAACCAAGCAAGAAGCGCAAGCAACCUUCUAAUGCAAAUGAGGAGAAGGAAGAGAAGAGUCCAUUCUUACGUUUGUACAAGCAGACAUGCGAGAAAAUAG
rnacentral:rRNA from 1 species